AACCUGCAACCUUCCGAUUACGGGGCGAGCACUUCACUCCUGUGCCACCGUUGCCACUAAAGGCAAAUAAUUUUAAACAAUACGUGUGUGUAAACCGUAAACAAACAGGUGAUUUCAUCUUUAACGAUAGAAGUCAAGCUUAUGACACAAAGAGUCAAUCAAGUCAGCAGGUUUCUGUCUCUGAGGAAUAAAAACACUUUACUAAUGCUUCUUCAGACAGCAUCUGAUCUGUUGUUUGGAUGAUUCAGGUCGUCGUGUAAAUAAAAGGUGCUUCGGUGUGCUCACGCUCCUGUUUGUCUCCUUGAGUGAGAUUUGUUUAAGCAAAAACUGGAAACCGUGUUGGGAAGACUCCUUGUUCCCCAGCACAAAUGCAAUCUGAGACGCACAGAUAAAUCCACUCUGUCCUGUAUUAACUUUGCUGCUGGAAUUUGUUUGAGUACAUUCUGUGACUUGGGGGGAAGCCAAAACUCCAGCCCUCUGCUCUCAUAUCUCAUGUUGCAACUGAUGGCUGCAGGCCGAGCUGGAGUCCGCAGCCACUGGGCCAUCACGCACAGGGAGGAGCCGGCUCAUUGUGCAGGAUUCGCUCUCACGCUAGCAAUAAUGAGACCGGCGCUGCUUCUGUUUAACUCGCUACCUCGCUCCUCAGGAUCUGUUCUGUACUAAGUCCAUUAGAGUUUUAUCACUUUUGCACAGUUGAAAAAGAAAAAUGAAGAGAGGACAGUAAACAUCCUUCAGGGUUGUGCAACAACCGUCCGUGUGUGUCCCAUACCCAGCCUGUCAGUCGUGUGACAUGAAAGAAUUGCUUUUAUAACCUUUUUUGCUGUGUUGAUUCAGUCCUUUUAGCCGUGUCACACGAGUGAUGCAAUUUAAACAUGAGGAAAAGUGAGUGACUGUGGGCAAGCAAACACCAAGGCACACAUUACGGAGGUUAUAAACGGCCUGGAACACUAAUUAAAGAAUAUUAUUUUCAGAGCUCGCGGAAGUGCUUGUGUUGCAACAAUUAGACAAGUAAACCUUUUAAAAAAGCUAUUUGACCUCAUGCCGCUGGGUUAGGAGCUCAUAAAACGUCUCGUCAGACGGAAGCCACCGUGGUCCUGGCUUUCCGGUUCCUUUGGAACGGUCAGCCCAUCUCUGCACCAAUAAACUUCUGCAUCUCAGAACAGGAGGAUCCUAGCCGUUUUAAAAAUGACUCAUAAGGAGCCGUCAGCAGCACGUUACUGCAGCAGCACGUCUUGCUCGCGUAAGCUGCUGCUUGGCCCUUCCCACGAGACGCGAAGCAGCAGGGGAGCAGCUGUCACCGACAGAGCACGAAGUCACACGAGUGACUUCGUCAGUGAACACAACAACAAGCAGGAGAAAACUACAACAUGGCUCCAAAAGGGGCGGCGUUAGGCCCGGCUACUUGGGCUGAAGCCCCGGAUCUUUAAUGAAAAGCCCCGGAUCUAAAUCGCGGAAGUAACAUGCAGUACCAAAGUCCAACAGAGAGGGAGCAGCUGGCAGUAGUUUGUAUGCGGCCUGCCUGAGCCUCCACCACUGAAGAAGAAGCCCUUCAGCAGCUGGCUUCUUCUGCACUCUCUGCCUGAAACACGAGUGAAGAUGGACAUAAGGACGUAUUUUAGACCAAAAGUACGGCGACAGAACCCCAGCUUUGAUGAGACUGGUGUUGACUCAGGUUUGUGAGUCUUAUUUGAAAAUAUUUGUUGUGCUGCUGGUUUGCCUAAAGUUAGCUUACUAUCAGGUAAAGUUGUUGGAGAAAGAAAGGGAAUAUUUACUAUCAUCUCACACUAAACACUAACAGGAACAAUAUUCUGCCCUGAAUAUGCUUAAUAUGUAGCUUCAGAUUAAAAAUUAUGUGGUACAAGACAUAUAUGAUGUUGACUAGUGUGUGUCACAUGUGUGCGCGCGCGUGCGUGUUUGUGCGUGUUUUAAGCCCUGGAUGUUCUUCAGUUCUUAAUCCGCCCCUGGUAUCAUGGUCCGAUACAUGAAAUAAAAUAAAAUCUAUUUUUUCAAGUAUUUGAUGCAGUACUUAGAUCGUCCACAAGGAUUCGUGCAGAGUUGAUUGGAGGUGAAGUUUGAGGAACGUACUGAUCCUGUUAACGGGACAGAGGUAGAAGAAAAUUAGGAUUCGUUCAAGCAAACACACAUUUGGCAUUUAGGGGUUAAGUACUGCAAUCUGCAAAUGUGAGUUGCAGCGUAAUGAUGCAGAUGAAUCCACACAAGAACCAUUUUCUGGCUGUUCGCCUCAGAGAGACAGGUUGUCUCCAGCGUGCACCAGGUACCUGGUCAUUUUCUGAAAUUACUGUAACGACUCAUCAUCUGAAUGAAGUCAUGGUCCCAGGAUGUGGGUUACCUCUAGAUGCUGUUCUACUGGAUCUUUCUGGAUCUCCUGAAUGUGGUCACCCACGUUCAUAUGGCUGUUGCUGGACAGGUAUCGGCACGCUGAGGAACGCUCAGGCAGAACUUUAACGGUCGACCUUUUUAACCUGAGAAAUAAUUCUCUUUCCUACUUUUCAACAGAAAAUCCGAAGCCCAGCUGACAGCAGAUGGUCAAACGCUCAGACUGACCGCUUGAGAUCUUUUUUAGACCAGUUAAGUGAGAAACCACCAUGACCUCACUGAGCUGGAGCAUUGGCUGAUGCCCUCAAAGCCAGAUCUUCCUUCUUUAAACACUCUUAAGACAAGCAAAUGACCUCCGACUGCUGCUUGUAAAUCCCCAACUGUCACUUUUAGUUAAAGCUCUUUCUAAAUCAUUGCAAGCAGGCAGUAUUUUUGUGUUUGAGUAAGGUCUUACUAACAGAUGCCCAUUAGGGUCAAAAAUCCAUGGGAGAGCAACCUCCAGCAACAUAAACGCAUCAGACUCCCGUUCAUCACUGGCAACGAGUGAAGAGGUAAAUGUGUAAAACAACAUCUACGAAUGGCAAAAGUUUUAUAACAAUUUGAUACAAAUCAGUGAAUGCUUUUUGACCUCACGAGCUCCCAUAAAAGGAAACAUGGCGUCUAAUGUGACUUAGACCCGCUCCCAUGUUAUUUAGACCAGAUUUUCAUGGUUAUAAGUUACGAAGGCGCCAAUAUUUUUCAACACCUGAGCAUCAUUGAAUUAAUUUUCAACAUUUCGAUGGAUAUCUCCAGAGAUUAACAGUAAAAACUACACCAUGUCUCUUUAAAAUCUAAAAAAAAAAUCAAUUUAAAAAGUCAAACCUUUUAAAUGCAGCUUAUCUCGACUCCCUUUCUUACAAACUUCCUAGUUUUAUUCUGGUUGAUGCUGUGGUGAAAUAUUCCUGUUUUCACUGGUAUAUUACAAAAUAUGACUUCUGUGUUAUUCAGAAUCAGCCAUUAAUCUUGUCUGAUGCUAAAAACUUUUACUUCCUUAUUUCUUCAAGGUUGCGGCUGUUAGUUAAAUGCACCAAAACAUGCUGUUACACCUCCAGUCAUUCCUGUGGUCCUUCCUCCUCGGCAUUGUGCUAACACACAACUGUAUGCUCCAGAGAAGCUAACAACACUUAAGGUGGAACGACACCAUGCAAUACAAUGUGCUCUUGUUUGGUAAGGGCUUUUGGUUUAUCAAAGCUACAAAGAGAAGUACUUGCAACAUCAAAACUCUACAGUCUGCUGCUUGACUCAAUCCUGCUGUUUUUCUGUCAGGCCAAAUAUAAAAAUCUGAGUUUUUACUUAAGCUAUUUUUCAUUUUCAUUUCUGAAUAUCGGAUUAAAUAGUUUUGUGCACUAAGGCCGGUCCAACGUGCAUCCCAAACUAAACACAAGUCAGGAUGAAAUUAAAUGAAACGUUUUGAUUUAGUAAUCUCUCAUAAGCUCUACAGAUCCUAAUUAAAAGUGAUGUUAGUAAUAAAAACGGCUAGUCCACACACAGCUGAUUCAUAAUCUUAUGUCUGGCUGUGGAGCAGAUGAGUGUUAAAGGUCAAACAGCGGCCUGAGCUGAGUGUCAGUGGCUAAGAAGAAAUGAAAGAGGAUGAAGAGGAGGAUGGGGGAAGGGGAGAUCCGUCCGUCAGAGCUGCGGUCUGGGCUCAGAGGAGUGGCAUGACCUCGGUGCGGUCCCACACCGAGCGCAUUACUGAGCGUCUGAGAGGGAUUUAAGGUCCAGGGCUUAACACAGAUCAGGCUGUGGUUCUCUGCCUCAGGUUAAAAAACGGGAUGGGGCUCAGAGCCACUCCAACAGAGGCGGUGGCACCAGUAGCACCAACAAUUAUUAUAGAGCAACUUCAUUGAGAAAACCGUUUCUUUACUUGUUAUUUAACACAAUUGGUCACUCUGAGUUGUAGAGGCUGAGCUCUGGUCACUCUGAGGCUGAACGUAAACAUGUUCUUCCACCCCUUCUUCCUGCAUUAGCUGCCAAAAACAAAAUAGACAGGAAAAUGGUCACAUCUGAUAAAGCCACACAGAUCUACAUCAAACUGUCUAUCUGCAUCCAUGGUCUCACCAGAGCCGUGUCCAGGACUUUUAAAAUGGGGUGGCCCAUGUGGGGCACUUGUUUAUGCAUGGGUGGCACCAAUGGUUAUGCUUAUUUA